GGGAUUCCUGAUGAGAUUACCCGUCUUCUUGAGCAACGAAGAAAGGCUCAUUCAGCUGUAUCAUGAGAAUCAGCAAAACAGUCAAACUGGGGCAUUGCAAAUUAAAAAAUUAAAAAAAAAAAAAAAAGAGGGUGAAAAAAAAAGAAUGAAAAAUCAAAAAUCAGGAAAAAAAAAUUCAAAAUUUUUCCAAAAGAAAAAAGAAAAAUUAUACCCUCAAGUCCCUAGUUGACUGAUGCUGAAUGGAUUCAGAGUCGUUACGACCAACUGAAUUUGAUCGAAGAGAAGCGAUUAACUGCCAU
rnacentral:lncRNA from 1 species